GGUGGUGGAGUAGGUAAAAGGGUAAGAGGAGAAGUUCUCAAAAGAAUCAAUAAAAGGGUGGUGGUGGUGGUGAUGCAUAUGAGAUUCCAAAGACAGGUGGUAUAGGCCCUUCAUAUACAGGUGGUGGUGGCGGCGAUGAAUAUACCGGUGGUGGAGGUGAGGGAUAUGCAUAUACUGGUGAUGGUGGGGGUGAGGUGUAUACCGGUGGUGGCGGUGAGGGAUAGGCAUAUACUGGUGAUGGUGGUGGUGAUGGGGAUGGUGGUGGGUGAUAAGGUGUUUGAUGUGGCGCUGGCGAUGAUGGUGGUGGAGGUUCUACACAAGGUGGCGGUGGAGGUGGUGGAGGUUCUACACAAGGUGGUGGAGAUGGCGGUGGUGGUGAAUAGACUGGUGGUGGAGGUGAGUGUACUGGAGGAGGUGGUGGGGGUGAUAAAUAUGGAUAUACGGGUGGAGGAGGUGAGUGAGGUGGUGGUGGUGGCGAA
rnacentral:lncRNA from 1 species